UACAGGGGGUGCAAACGUUGCUCGGAUUUAUUGGGCGUAAAGCGCGCGUAGGCGGCUACUUAAGUCGGAUGUGAAAGCCCCUGGCUUAACUGGGGAAGUGCACCCGAAACUGAGUAGCUAGAGUACGAAAGAGGGUCGCGGAAUUCCCGGUGUAGAGGUGAAAUUCGUAGAUAUCGGGAGGAACACCGGCGGCGAAGGCGGCGACCUGGGUCGAUACUGACGCUGAGGCGCGAAAGCGUGGGGAGCAAACAGG
rnacentral:rRNA from 1 species